UGAUGUUAUGAUGAUGGGCAAAAUGUUCAACUGCUCUGAAUGCACUGAAUGAAAAGUAGCCUUUCUGAACAUCC
ensembl:snoRNA SNORD6 small nucleolar RNA, C/D box 6